AUUGAACGCUGGCGGCAUGCUUUACACGUGCAAGUCGAACGGCAGCGGGGAGGAGCUUGCUUCUCUGCCGGCGAGUGGCGAACGGGUGAGUAAUACAUCGGAACGUGUCGAGAAGAGGGGGAUAACCACCCGAAAGGGUGGCUAAUACCGCAUAAAUUCUGAGGAAGAAAGCUGGGGACCUAGGAAUAGGCCUAGCGCUUUUUGAGCGGCCGAUGUCGGAUUAGCUAGUUGGUGAGGUAAAGGCUCACCAAGGCGAAGAUCUGUAGCGGGUCUGAGAGGAUGAUCCGCCACACUGGGACUGGGACACGGCCCAGACUCCUACGGGAGGCAGCAGUGGGGAAUUUUGGACAAUGGGGGCAACCCUGAUCCAGCCAUGCCGCGUGUAUGAAGAAGGCCUUAGGGUUGUAAAGUACUUUUGUUAGGGAAGAAAAGUCAGCUGUGAAUAAUGGCUGAUACUGACGGUACCUAAAGAAUAAGCACCGGCUAACUACGUG
rnacentral:rRNA from 1 species